rnacentral:rRNA from 1 species
UACACUCCUACGGGAGGCAGCAGUGGGGAAUUUUGGACAAUGGGCGAAAGCCUGAUCCAGCAAUGCCGCGUGAGUGAAGAAGGCCUUCGGGUUGUAAAGCUCUUUUGUCAGGGAAGAAACGGUGAGAGCUAAUAUCUUUUGCUAAUGACGGUACCUGAAGAAUAAGCACCGGCUAACUACGUGCCAGCAGCCGCGGUAAUACGUAGGGUGCAAGCGUUAAUCGGAAUUACUGGGCGUAAAGCGUGCGCAGGCGGUUUUGUAAGUCUGAUGUGAAAUCCCCGGGCUCAACCUGGGAAUUGCAUUGGAGACUGCAAGGCUAGAAUCUGGCAGAGGGGGGUAGAAUUCCACGUGUAGCAGUGAAAUGCGUAGAUAUGUGGAGGAACACCGAUGGCGAAGGCAGCCCCCUGGGUGAAGAUUGACGCUCAUGCACGAAAGCGUGGGGAGCAAACAGGAUUAGAAACCCCGGUAGUCC